CGCCUCUUGCCGUACUUAGUAUAAGAGGUCCUGCCUGCCCAGUGAUAAAUUUUAACGGCCGCGGUAUCAUGACCGUGCAAAGGUAGCGUAAUCACUUGUCUUUUAAAUAAAGACCUGUAUGAAAGGCAAAACGAAAAUUCAACUGUCUCUUUAAUCCGAUCAGUAAAAUUAAUCUCUCCGUGCAGAAGCGGAGAUAUUUUUAUAAGACGAGAAGACCCUAUGGAGCUUUAAACAUAAAAUUAACUACACCCACACUCUUAACCAACAGGCAAAAAGUACAAAUGUGUAGCCAUAAUCUAAGUUUUCGGUUGGGGCGACCACGGAAGAAAGAAGAUCCUCCGCGAUAGACAGCUUAGAGCGACACUUCAAAGACUAAAACAUUUGUUAUAAAUGACCCACUAAGUGAUCAACGAACCAAGUUACCCUAGGGAUAACAGCGCAAUCCUUUCUAAGAGUCCAUAUCGACGAAUGGGUUUACGACCUCGAUGUUGGAUCAGGACACCCAAAUGGUGCAGCCGCUAUUAAAGGUUCGUUUGUUCAACGAUUAAAGUCCUACG
rnacentral:rRNA from 1 species